rnacentral:lncRNA from 1 species
GUAAGCUGUCAUCUGUGAAGCGUGAGCGGUGUUUGUUUUUACCAUAGUUCAUGGUGGAGAAUGGCUGCUCUUCUGAGUUUUGCUGUCUGUAGCCGUAUGAAUGGCAACUACAGUGAUUAGCAGCGGCAUAGGCACACAUAAAAUUUCUUCUGAAAUUUUCGCUUUCUAGUUCUUAUUGUGUGGAUGCCCUCAAAGGGCUUCCACACUAUUGAGUUCCUGUUUCUCUUUAUUCUUUAUUAUUCUUAGGACUUCCGUACGUUUUUUGCCGUCUAUCUACUGCCUCAGUUUUCAGCCGAUUUUCUCCGUUCAAACUCUAUACUGUUCUGCUCUUUCUGCUAAUGUGUGCUAUGACUUUUGGUGUUUAUUACUCUUAUACUUUUUAAAAUAUUACACUUUUUUCCUUU